CUGCUCACUUCAGCAACACAUAUACUAAAAUUGGAACAAUACAGAGAUGAUUAGCAUGGCCCCUGUGCAAGGAUGACAUACGAAUUCAUGAAGCAUACCAUAAAAAA